UAACAGACUUAGAUUAACAGA
rnacentral:miRNA from 1 species